GAUGGCCAGGGGCGGAAGUCUCUGUGGCUGUGUGGUCUGCACUGCUGGCAGGGGCCAGGUGAAGGCCAGAGGUGCAGUUCCUGGCCCACUGCAGCUGCAUCCUGGGAUCCCAGCCAGACCCUCCUCUGAAGCCUCGUCCCUGCUAUUCCUCUGUCCCCCUUGACGCCAUCUGGUCCUCCGGAGCCUGCUGACCCCAAUCAGGCACUGGAGCUGGGGCCCGCGACCCUCCUGCCUCCCCAGGAUCUACGAGCAAUCUGAGGCCUUCCCAGCUGGGGUGGGGUGCAGCCAGGUCGAGGACGGCAGGGCUCUGGGCAGAGGCCAGGUGGCCCGUACCAGCACCUGGUAGGCAGAGUGGGCAAAUCUUAUUAGCCAGCAGAUAUUCAAGGUCCUCAGCGCAGACUGCCUGUGACCUUCCUCCCCACUGUCCAGCAGGGCUGGACCCCCGAGUGCCAGGGUAUCUCAGGGUAUUUGCCACUUCUGAGCCCUCAGCUGAUGGCCCUCCACCGUGGUUACCUGACUGAGAAGGCUCCUGGGUCUUGGGGCACUGUCCCUGCUUGAAGGGAGCCUGGGACUGUGGGACGCCUACCCACUCUGUGGCCUAGCUGGAGGCUUCGGAGACUGACCCCACUUGCCUGAAGCCAUGAGGGGGCAUUUCCCAUAGGCAAAGGUCUCUGUGUCUGGGGCACUGCCAGGGCCCAGGCUCGGGCUUCCCUGUGAAUAGUGUUGCCCGGGCAAUGUAGCCAGAACUCACUCCCUCUGAUGUGUGACCCAAGUCCUUGACGCCCUGGGUUCCUUUUGGCCCCCACCCUGGAGUCCUGCCCACUUCCCCCAAGAGAUCUCCAGCAUGGAAGGGCUGGGGUCAGGCACCAAACUCUGCAUCCCCCUGUGAUGCCCAGACAGGUUGAAUGCUUCAAGUCUGUUUCCCCGUGCCUCAGUUUCCCCAUCUGUCAAAUGGAAAGCAUGACUGAACAGCAGCCUCUCCUGUCCUAGGAGAAGCUGGGCAGUGGCAUGUGGUCUGCUCCCUUCCCCCACCCCUGUCCUGGUUGGCAGGACGCCUGUCCAG